AACUUAGAUUAUUUCUGUUUUAUUAAUUAUCUGAGGCUGAUCUCGGAAGCUAAGGAGGGUCGUGCCUGGUCAGUAUUUGGAUGGGAGAUGGCCUGGGAACAGCAGGUGCUGUAGGUUU
ensembl:rRNA 5S_rRNA 5S ribosomal RNA